rnacentral:tRNA from 1 species
CCUGGAAGCUCAGAUGGUAAAGCAUCUGCCUUCAAUGCAGGAUACCUGGGUUCAAUCCCUGGGUCAGGA